UCACACAAGAGACCCAAAUUAACCGUAUACGGCGUAAAGAGUGGUACAAUACUAUCAUAGCAACUAGGAUUAAAAUGCAACUAGGCUGUCACAAGCUCAAGAUGCACCUAAGAUCACCCCCAAGAUGAUCCUAGCAUUCCUGAUUAAUUUAACCCCACGAAAGCUAGGGCACAAACUGGGAUUAGAUACCCCAUUAUGCCUAGCCCUAAAUCUUGAUGCUUGCCUUACUAAAGCAUCCGCCUGAGAACUACGAGCACAAACGCUUAAAACUCUAAGGACUUGGCGGUGCUCUAAACCCACCUAGAGGAGCCUGUUCUAUAAUCGAUAACCCACGAUUCACCCAACCACCUCUUGCUAGAGCAGCCUACAUACCGCCGUCGCCAGCCCACCUCCCCUGAGAGUCCCACAGUGAGCACAAUAGCCUACAAACCGUUAGUAAGACAGGUCAAGGUAUAGCCUAUGGGGUGGAAGAAAUGGGCUACAUUUUCUACGAUAGAAAA
rnacentral:rRNA from 1 species